CGGGUGGCUGCAGUGAGGAAUAUUGGGCAAUGCCCGAAAGGGUGACCCAGCAACGCCGCGUGGAGGAUGAAGUCCUUUUGGAUGUAAACUCCUGUUGGAAGGGACGAAUAAUUAAUGCCCGUAAGAGCAUUAGUCUGACGGUACCUUCAAAGAAAGCACCGGCUAACUACGUGCCAGCAGCCGCGGUAAUACGUAGGGUGCAAGCGUUGUCCGGAUUUACUGGGUGUAAAGGGCGCGCAGGCGGACCUUUAAGUCAUGGGUGAAAUCUUUCCGCUUAACGGAAAAACUGCCCCUGAUACUAUUGGUCUUGAGUUCGGUAGAGGGAGAUGGAAUUCCAGGUGUAGCGGUGAAAUGCGUAGAUAUCUGGAAGAACACCGGUGGCGAAGGCGAUCUCCUGGCCCGAAACUGACGCUCAGGCGCGAAAGCGUGGGUAGCAAACAGGAUUAGAUACCCCGGUAGUC
rnacentral:rRNA from 1 species